AACGAACGCUGGCGGCAGGCCUAACACAUGCAAGUCGAACGAGAAGCCACCUUCGGGUGGUGGAAAGUGGCAGACGGGUGAGUAACGCGUGGGAACGUGCCUUUCGGUUCGGGAUAACCCAGGGAAACUUGGGCUAAUACCGGAUACGCCCUCCGGGGGAAAGAUUCAUUGCCGAAAGAUCGGCCCGCGUCGGAUUAGCUAGUUGGUAGGGUAAUGGCCUACCAAGGCGACGAUCCGUAGCUGGUCUGAGAGGAUGACCAGCCACACUGGGACUGAGACACGGCCCAGACUCCUACGGGAGGCAGCAGUGGGGAAUAUUGGACAAUGGGCGAAAGCCUGAUCCAGCCAUGCCGCGUGGGUGAAGAAGGCCUUAGGGUUGUAAACCCCUUUCAGCGGGGAAGAUAAUGACGGUACCCGCAGAAGAAGUCCCGGCUAACUCCGUGCCAGCAGCCGCCGUAAGAC
rnacentral:rRNA from 1 species